rnacentral:rRNA from 1 species
CACGCCGUAAACGUUGGGCGCUAGGUGUGGGACUCAUUCCACGAGUUCCGUGCCGCAGCUAACGCAUUAAGCGCCCCGCCUGGGGAGUACGGCCGCAAGGCUAAAACUCAAAGGAAUUGACGGGGGCCCGCACAAACGGCGGAGCAUGUGGAUUAAUUCGAUGCAACGCGAAGAACCUUACCAAGGCUUGACAUAUACCGGAAACAUCCAGAGAUGGGUGCCCCGCAAGGUCGGUAUACAGGUGG